GACAGAGGGUGCAAACGUUGUUCGGAAUUACUGGGCGUAAAGCGCGUGUAGGCUGCCCUGCAAGUCGGAUGUGAAAGCCCUGGGUUCAACCUAGGAAGUGCACUCGAAACUGCAGGGCUGGAGUCCUGGAGAGGAAGGCGGAAUUCUCGGUGUAGAGGUGAAAUUCGUAGAUAUCGAGAGGAACACCGGUGGCGAAGGCGGCCUUCUGGACAGUGACUGACGCUGAGACGCGAAAGCGUGGGGAGCAAACAGG
rnacentral:rRNA from 1 species